rnacentral:rRNA from 1 species
AUUGAACGCUGGCGGCAUGCUUUACACAUGCCAGUCGAACGGCAGCGCGGGCUUCGGCCUGGCGGCGAGUGGCGAACGGGUGAGUAAUGCAUCGGAACGUGCCCAGUAGUGGGGGAUAGCCCGGCGAAAGCCGGAUUAAUACCGCAUACGACCUGAGAGUGAAAGCGGGGGACCGAAAGGCCUCGCGCUAUUGGAGCGGCCGAUGUCGGAUUAGCUAGUUGGUGGGGUAAAGGCUUACCAAGGCGACGAUCCGUAGCUGGUCUGAGAGGACGACCAGCCACACUGGGACUGAGACACGGCCCAGACUCCUACGGGAGGCAGCAGUGGGGAAUUUUGGACAAUGGGGGCAACCCUGAUCCAGCCAUGCCGCGUGCGGGAAGAAGGCCUUCGGGUUGUAAACCGCUUUUGUUCGGGAAGAAAUCCUCUGGGCUAAUACCCCGGGGGGAUGACGGUACCGGAAGAAUAAGCACCGGCUAACUACGUG